CCACCCUCCGUAGAGUCUCGGCCACCCCAUUGGCCACCCCAAGCACCGGAUCACAGCGGUCAAAAGUUUUGACGGCUGUGGAAAAAUGCGGAACCUUUCUCGCACCGCUAGUACACUGCCGGACCCUUUAGCCGCGCGCAGCGCGCACACGUCCUGUAUUUGAAUUUAACAGCUCAAGCAUGCCCUGAAUGCCUGUUACCACCUGACGCUUCGACCGGCACCUGCGGCUAAGUGAAGAAACCCAAAACAGAAAGAUUGAUCGAGAGCAGGACAGAAGAGUCCUCCCUGAGGAGUGGCCCCAGUGGAUCCCCAGAUUCCCACAGAAGGUUCAGACAGCGAGAGAGAGGAGCCUCCAACAACGAGUGGCGGCCCAAGGUACCUCCAGACAUUUCCAAAUCAAGAACCGAUAGAUCUUUAAGGACAGUCUUUGAAGUGUUCAGUUUUAAUGAGAUGUCACUGUUUGGAUUCUCUGAUAUGUGUAAAUGUGGCUCAAACUUGAAUCUAAUCUUGCAGAGUCCGCCUAAUACCCAUUGUGAAUAUGAUGUUUGUUAUUAUGUGUUUGAUAGAUGUUUAUGAAUCGAAUUGAAGAAAAAUUGACACUGCUUAUUUAAACAGGCUGUUAAUGCUUGUCAUAUUUACAUUUGUUGGAAUUCAGCAAAUUGUAUUCAGGAUGUUAUUUUAUUUAUUUUCAUAUUUCUAUACAUUAGCUCAGUAUUUUAUACUUUUUGUUAUUUAAAGAUAAAUCCAUAUUGUGAUCAGACUUGAUCAAAAAAACAUUGCACUUCUAAUUUUGUAUCCUUGUUUUGUAUUCCUGAUGAUACACUGAGAGAAUUGACUUGGCUUGUCGCCAUAAACUGAGGACAUCUCUACUAUAAAAUAGAAUACCUUGCUGUCAAUGCAUAUCUGUACAACCAUUGUUCGACUCAGUCGUACAAUACAAAUAAAAACACAAAUAGCAAUCGGUAAAUCAGCACAGUUUAAAAACAAGUAUGAAUACAGAAUAAGUGUAUAUUCUUUUUUAAGUUUUAGCUUCUUUGUUACUUUGCCUUUAGGUAUAAGAACAAUUUAAAUAUAUUGAAUACUUUUCUAUUGCACCUUCAUCUGAAUUCCGAAUAAUGUUGAGAUGUUUGCUGUAUGUGUCUUAAAUAGCUCUGCAUCUCCUGGUGAGACACAUGCUUGCCACCCAAAAAUUAUCACUGGCCCCAUCCUGGCCACCCCAAUGGAAAUUUCCUGGCUCCGCCACUGGUCCCGACGGGGGUUACCAGAGAGACUGUUGAUCUGAUCUUAAAUACAUUGCACUUUCUAUUCUACUCAUUUCUUUGCAUAUGUUUUCUUUUACUUAUCUACUAUUUUAUUUUAUUGCAUGACAAUGUCUAUAUGUGAAGCACUUUGAGUCUGACUUGUGUAUGAAAAGUGCUAUAUAAAUAAAGUUGCCUUGCCUUG